UCUUUGAACUGAGAAUAUUAUAAUAUAAAUAUUAAUGAAGAGCCUUCGUCCGCCUAGUCUACCACCUCUCGCACCAUCACCAGCGAGUACCACAUCGACGAAUCCCUCUGGGAGACCUACAACAAGAGACUCAAGUCCCUAGGCAUUCUCGUCAAAGCUCACAAUUUCUUGGUCUUUCAGCUGGAAGCAAGCAUCAGAAAUGGAGAUAUUCAGUGGUUUCAACUAUUUAGGAAUGUCACAGAUCAGCUAUCAUCAAAUAAUAGAAAGAAAGGCCAUUUAAAUCUGCAUCAAGAAUUGUAAAUAAGUUGUGGAUAAGUUGUGGAUUUUUCUCCGACGUGGUUAAUUUGAAAUUGUUGUGAAUUGUAUCAAGAAACAAAAUAAGCACUGUUUUAUUUUUA